rnacentral:lncRNA from 1 species
GGGUUCAAAUCUGGUUCGGAUGAUUUUUUAUUUUUUUUUAUAGUAAGCACCUACACUCCUUAAUUUCUGAAUUUGCCACUGUAGCUAAUGAGUGACCUGGUUAUGUAAAUAUCGUUAGUGCAUACGCACUUGAUACUUAUCAAGAUAUUUACCUACAGUCACCAUACCUAAGACCUGAUUAUGUAAAUAUCGUUAGUGGGUGCUCACUUGAUAGUUAUGAAGAUAUUUAAUUACCUAUUGUCACCAUACCUAACUAACAAGUUACCUGAUUAUGUAAAUAUUGU